GUGAAAUAUACUCUACAAAAUUUAGUGUGUACUUAUAAACACUUAUUGUGAUCCAGUAAGCACAUCCAGUUGAAAUUUUUCAUUUUUCAUCAAAUACAAUACGAUAUAAUACAAUCUGAAUAUGGAUGUUGGAGGGAAAGGGUCACAUGGAACCAAGAGCCUAUCCCAGUGGAACUAAGGAAGUGACGGAGAUGACUUCGAGGGGUCGAGACAACCCGAGGGAGGUCGUCAAGUCUCUCCAAAAGAAGUUCGGGAGGAAGAGGAGCUCGCAUCAGGCUAGCGAUGGGCGAAUACACUCAGCACGGAAAUUGAGAGCCUAGUCUUCAAAAUAAAAGCACUAAGCAUG